UCNGUUACCAGAGAAAACUUUUUAACGUAGU
rnacentral:piRNA from 1 species